rnacentral:rRNA from 1 species
ACACAUGCAAGUCGAACGAGAAUCUACUGAAGGAGGAUUCGUCCAACGGAAGUAGAGGAAAGUGGCGGACGGGUGAGUAACGCGUGAGGAACCUGCCUUGAAGAGGGGGACAACAGUUGGAAACGACUGCUAAUACCGCAUGAAGCAUAGGGGUCGCAUGAUUCUUAUGCCAAAGAUUUAUCGCUUCAAGAUGGCCUCGCGUCUGAUUAGCUGGUUGGCGGGGUAACGGCCCACCAAGGCGACGAUCAGUAGCCGGACUGAGAGGUUGAACGGCCACAUUGGGACUGAGAUACGGCCCAGACUCCUACGGGAGGCAGCAGUGGGGAAUAUUGGGCAAUGGGCGCAAGCCUGACCCAGCAACGCCGCGUGAAGGAAGAAGGCUUUCGGGUUGUAAACUUCUUUUAAGAGGGAAGAGCAGAAGACGGUACCUCUAGAAUAAGCCACGGCUAACUACGUGCCAGCAGCCGCGGUAAUACGUAGGUGGCAAGCGUUGUCCGGAUUUACUGGGUGUAAAGGGCGUGCAGCCGGGUCUGCAAGUCAGAUGUGAAAUCCAUGGGCUCAACCCAUGAACUGCAUUUGAAACUGUAGAUCUUGAGUGUCGGAGGGGCAAUCGGAAUUCCUAGUGUAGCGGUGAAAUGCGUAGAUAUUAGGAGGAACACCAGUGGCGAAGGCGGAUUGCUGGACGAUAACUGACGGUGAGGCGCGAAAGUGUGGGGAGCAAACAGGAUUAGAUACCCUGGUAGUCCACACUGUAAACGAUGAAUACUAGGUGUGCGGGGACUGACCCCCUGCGUGCCGCAGUAAACACAAUAAGUAUUCCACCUGGGGAGUACGAUCGCAAGGUUGAAACUC